rnacentral:rRNA from 1 species
UACGGAGGAUCCAAGCGUUAUCCGGAUUUAUUGGGCUUAAAGGGCGCGUAGGCGGGCAUUCAAGUCUGUGGUGAAAUCCAACAGCUCAACUGUUGAACUGCCGUGGAUACUGGGUGUCUCGAGGGAGGUAGGGGCGUGCGGAACUAUUGGUGGAGCGGUGAAAUGCGUUGAUAUCAAUAGGAACUCCGGUGGCGAAGGCGGCACGCUGGACCUCUUCUGACGCUGAGGCGCGAAAGCCAGGGGAGCAAACGGG